CCUACGGGUGGCAGCAGUGAGGAAUAUUGGUCAAUGGGCGAGAGCCUGAACCAGCCAAGUCGCGUGAAGGAAGAAGGUUCUAUGGAUUGUAAACUUCUUUUAUCGGGGAAUAAAAUGCGGCACGUGUUCCUUUCCGUAUGUACCCUAUGAAUAAGCAUCGGCUAACUCCGUGCCAGCAGCCGCGGUAAUACGGAGGAUGCGAGCGUUAUCCGGAUUUAUUGGGUUUAAAGGGUGCGUAGGUGGAUAAUCAAGUCAGCGGUAAAAAUUCGAGGCUCAACCCCGUCGUGCCGUUGAAACUGGUGUUCUUGAGUGAGCGAGAAGUAUGCGGAAUGCGUGGUGUAGCGGUGAAAUGCAUAGAUAUCACGCAGAACUCCGAUUGCGAAGGCAGCAUACCGGCGCCCAACUGACGCUGAAGCACGAAAGCGUGGGUAUCGAACAGGAUUAGAUACCCGAGUAGUC
rnacentral:rRNA from 1 species